GACGAACGCUGGCGGCGUGCUUAACACAUGCAAGUCGAACGGAAAGGCCUGCUUUCCCUUGUGGUUUGCGGGUACUCGGGUGGCGAACGGGUGAGUAACACGUGAGUGAUCUGCCCCCAACUUGGGUAUAAGCCUGGGAAACUGGGUCUAAUUCCCGAUAGGACUGCAGGGUGGUGCCUGUGGUGGAAAACGAUCUUCUAGUGGUUGGGGAUGAGCUCGCGGCCUAUCAGCUUGUUGGUGGGGUAAUGGCCUACCAAGGCGGCGACGGGUAGCCGGCCUGGGGGGCGGGACGGCCACAUUGGGACUGAGGUACGGCCCAGACUGCGAGGGGGGGCAGGAGAGGGGAAUAUUGCGCGAUGGGCGGAAGCGUAGUGCCGCGACGCCGCGUGGGGGGUGACGGCCUUCGGGUUGUAAACUCCUUUCGACCGAGAGGAAGCCACCUGGUUGGAAGGGUGGUGACGGUAGUGGUAGAAGAAGCACCGGCUAACUACGUG
rnacentral:rRNA from 1 species